UACGUAGGGGGCAAGCGUUGUCCGGAAUCAUUGGGCGUAAAGAGCGCGUAGGCGGCCCGAUAAGUCCGCUGUGAAAGUCAAGGGCUCAACCCUUGAAUGCCGGUGGAUACUGUCGGGCUAGAGUCCGGAAGAGGAGAGUGGAAUUCCUGGUGUAGCGGUGAAAUGCGUAGAUAUCAGGAGGAACACCGGUGGCGAAGGCGGCUCUCUGGACGGUGACUGACGCUGAGACGCGAAAGCGUGGGGAGCAAACAGG
rnacentral:rRNA from 1 species